rnacentral:snRNA from 1 species
UUACUUACCUGGAUGGGGUCAAUGGGUGAUCAUGAAGGCCCAUGGCCUAGGCAAGUGACCUCCAUUGCACUUAGGAGGGGCGCUAGCCUAAGGUCUACCCAAGUGGUGGAGCCUACAUCAUAAUUUGUUGCAGUGGGGGCCUGCGUUCGCGCGGCCCCUCC